CCUCGAUCGAAAGUUUGCGGUAGCUCUCAAUGUACCCAUUUAAAUAAUAGAAAAGCUGGUAAGAUGCGCUUCUUAUUAGUAAGCACCAUAAACAUGUAUGUAAGAUAAAUAAAAUUGCAAGAGCCCCAACUUACCCAGAUGAUGCACUCUACGAAUCUUUUCCUCACCUUCUUCCAUGGCACACCCAAUAGUUCAUUUGCAUC
rnacentral:lncRNA from 1 species